rnacentral:rRNA from 1 species
UACAGAGGAGCCAAGCGUUGUCCGGAUUGACUGGGCGUAAAGCGCACGCAGGCGGAUGCGCGCGUGGGGUGUGAAAUCUGGCCGCUUAACGGCCAGGCGCCAUCCCAUACGGCGCGUCUGGAGUGAUGCAGAGGUCGAUGGAAUUGCCGGUGUAGUGGUGAAAUGCGUAGAGAUCGGCAGGAACACCCAGGGGGAAACCAGUCGGCUGGGCAUCUACUGACGCUGAGGUGCGAGAGCGUGGGGAGCGAACCGG